UGGCAUUUAGGAAGUGCUUAGCUGUUUAAGCUCAGUUCAUCUGAAUUUAACUUAUUCGUCAUGAGAGUUUGCUAGUAGGGAUACAAGCA
rnacentral:sRNA from 1 species